CUCAGUGGUCCUGGGCCAUCUCUGUAUUCUUGCAAUCGUCUAGAAAUUAGCUCGCCUCCCACUUCUGCUUCGAGAACUCAGUCUUCUGUCUUCUACUAGCUCACCACCACUGUCCGCACAACUACACAGAUCCUAGCUCUCUCGUGAUUACUGACCUCAGCUCACAGGAGGCAUCUAUUCACAGCUGGAAUAUAAGUCUAUCAUUUUUAUAUAAAAUCCAAGGCUGUAUCUUGCCUUGGACUCUCGAUUAAGAGUCCUCACUAUCUUCUCUCUCACACCGGAUCCUGUUUAUUUUCCAAUCAGCCACCCUACCACUCACCCUCCAGCAAUCAGGGAAAUGAAGGGAAAGAAUGAAGUGUUAACAGCUGGAGAAGGGAAGGAGAUUUUACACAAUUGUGACAACUUGUCAGACAACUUUGCCAGAGAGACUGAAGCCAAAGACAAUGAUGGCUAGGACCCAAGACUGCCUAUUAAUCAUACUCCUUGUCCUCUAAAUAAACCUAAACUUUAUGUUAGAUACCUGAAUAUCACCGGGGAGAUAACUGGACUUCAUUGUUCCUCUGCUUAAGGUUGCCACAUUGAAGAAAUGUUUUUCUGCUUUCAUGAUCAAAUUGUCUACUUAAUUGAUGUAUUUAGAACCAUUUAAAACAGCUUCCAAUGAAACCAUCCUGGCAGGAAUGAA